ACAGCUAACUUUCAUAAUGGUUCUAUCGGGCCAUUCAGCGAUGUCAUUUGCUUUCCAGAGUUCUGAACGCAGGCCCUGUCAAGCAUGGAUGUGCUGCCCUGUCAGCGGUGCCCUGCAUGGACCAGAGUGUCUCCCUCCUCCACAGCCCCCUUCCCAGCUCUCCACUCAUCCCACAGGAAAUGCCACGGUUUGCACAGUGCUGGCAGGUCUUGGUGAUGAGUGGUUUCCAGGCACCUCGGCCAACCGCCCUCCGACUACACGCGGUGCUCCUUGCUUCCACCUUGGUGUUCAAAUAUCCACAGCUCCUGGUAUUUAUCUGAUUGCCUCUUUACGCUAAAAUGUCACAUCUUGCCCGACGCUGCAUGGGAGCAGCUAAAUAUCUGGAAUAAUCAGUUCAUUGGAUUUACCUGGACUUUGCAUAAUUUAUCUGAUGCUUCUUGAAUCCUUCCUAUGUAGUUCAGUAAGAUCAUCGUGUUAGCAUUGGAUGUACACAGCCUUUCCUUACGGAGGGUCAGGUUGACUGAUUACCACAGAAUUAUCUUCCUUGUAGCUUUAAUGAGUUGGAAGGUCACUUGUUCCAGUGUGUUCUCAGGCACUGACACGCACAUGCUUUCUACAGCUUACGCUGAGAAGGGAGAGAGCCACUCACGAGCCAGUUCCCUUUGAAGAUGACUCUGGUCCAAUCAAAAUGUGUUCCCACAGCCACGCCCAUUGGAACGGGCCCACGGUUCCGAGCUGAAGGAUGACUGUUGAACUUCUCAGCAGAAUUGCCAUUUUACACGUGAAUGGCAAGACACGAUUUUCCAUGAAAAACAGUUUUUUCACGUACCAGCUGGGCUUGAGAUACCAUCAAACUGUGACUCAAGUGUCUAGAAAUAUGAAAAUACAGAAUACAGUAAGAGCUCUCUAAGCAAAUCUCUCCUUAGCUAACCUGUCAGAUAAACACACUCCGCUGUUGUAUUUGGCCCCGGUACCGAAGCUCAUUCCCAAUCUGAACUUCUGGGCUCGAUUCCUGCUUCCAAAAGGGACAAAUGUCAAAACAUUCUCUGACAAGCCAGAUAUCAAGGAACAGCAUCGGUCUGUAGCAACAGAAGAGGUUCCGACAACAGUAACAGCUGUGAGCACACACAGUAGGCGCUCAGCGCGUGUCUGCUAAAUGAACAACGAACUGACAGCUCCCGAAAGCUGAAGACGUGGGGAUCCCCAUCUAUCCCUACGAGAGAGCAGGGAGACGGUUUCCAGCAGGCAGCCUUGGGUCCUGGAACUCCCCUCCCCCCGCCCCACAAGCCCUGCAAGGUUAGACGGCAAAGAAAGAUCAAGAACACAGGAUGCCAGUCUGUCAUCUGGGAGCACCUGUUUGAGGACCACUUCCACAGCAACGGAAGCUGGCCCCAAUACUUGGGCCCCUGCCACCCACAUGACAGGCCCGAAUGGAGUCCCAGGCUCCUGGCUUCGGCGUGGCCCAGCCCUGGCUGCUGCCGCCAUUCGGGGGAACGAACCAGCAGAUGCAAGAUUGCUCCGGCUCUGUCACUCUGCCUUUCAGAUAAAUAAAACGGAUCUUUCAAAACAAGAAACAAAAAAGGUAGAACACAAGGGAGCAGCAUCUUCCACUCACUGACCAGGAGAGCCAAACUCCUUGACUUGGCCUUAUCUUGUUUUAAGCGCCUCAGCGCCCACGCCCACGCCAUUCCCUAGGGUCUCGGAUGGAGAAUUUCCUGCAUGGUUUGCUGGCUUUCUGUGGCCUAACCCUGUGGUCUAUAUUGCUACCAAACAGCCAGGUAAAGAAAUCCGCCCCUCCCCCGCCACCCUAGCCCUGUUAAUAAACACCCAACAGCAGCGGCUUUCAGGGCCCCCCUCGGGAGCUGGGAGCUCACUGCAGGGUGAGAGGCAGCAGCUGCUCCAGCCAAGCCACGAAGCGGGGCUCUCCUCUGUCAGCAGGCUUCGUCCCCAGCACAGAACUAACGCGGCCGCCACGCUCGCAUUCCUGCUGUCACCAUCACUGACCAGGGCGACGCCCGAGGGGGGCCAUCCAGGAGACAGCCAGCAGGCAGCGCUCAGUCACCGACAACUCUCUUAAUACAGCCCAGACAUUCCGUAUGCGUCAAGCAGCAACGCACGGCCACUCCACAAAUGGGCACUCCAAGGAGGACGCGCAGCCGGAGAGAGCCGCAUCUCCAGGCCGGCUGAAGCCUCGCUCCCCUGAGCUCCUGCCCCCAGAUAUCCACAGAGACCAAACCCGCCCCUCCUCCUCCGAUCUUGCUUUCUGGCAAGAAUGUGUGUGUGUAUGUAUGUAUGUGUGUGUGCACGUGUAUGUAUACAGGUAUGUGUACAUGUGUGUACAGGCAUGUGCAUGUAUGUAUAGACAUGUGCACAUGACUAUGCAUGUACAGGUGUAUGUAUGUACAGGUGUAUGUAUGUGUGCAUGCAUGCAUGUGCGUGUAUGUAUAGAAGCGUGCAUGUGUGUAUGCACAGGUGUGUGUAUACAUGUGUGUAAAGGUAUGUGCAUAUAUGUAUAGACAUGUGCACAUGUCUAUGCAUGUACAGGUGUGCGUAUGUACAGGUGUAUGUAUGUACCAGUGUGUAUUGUGUGCAUGCAUGCAUGUAUGUAUAGAUGUGUGCACAUGUGUGUAUACAGCUGUGUAUACAUGUGUGUACAAGCAUGUACGUAUAUGCAUAGAUGUGCGUGCAUGUCUAUGUAUGUACAUAUGUGUGUAUGUACAUGUGUGUAUAUGUGUACGUGUAUGCAUGUGUGUAUAGAUUGUGCACAUGUGUGCACAUGUGUGUAUACAUGCAUGUACAAGCAUGCACGUAUAUGUAUAGAUGUGUGUGCAUGUCUAUGUGUGUACAGGUGUGUGUAUAUGUGUGCAUACAGGCAUUACGUGCAUGUAUAGAUGUGUGUAUGUAAGGUGUGCAUGCAUGUGUGUACAGACAU